GGGCGGGUCACUCACCCUCAUCCUGCUCAGCGGGCUUGGGUCGUCCGGCCGCGGGGUCAGGGAAGACCAGAGGACCACUAGCCCCAGGAAGCUUCCCACCACCAGCAAACUGCGGGUGGUGAAUUUGUAACCGAAAGGCCCAGGUGAGAUGUGCAAAUAUCACUGGAUUGGAGGAGCUCACUUGGAAAGCCAGUAUUCCUCCUGAGCUAAUGAAAAGAAAGGCUGUCGUCUUAUGCCAAAAGCAAUACCAACCUUGUUCACGGGCUGAGAUCUAGAGUGUGUAAUUCACGAAGUAUGAAUCUGCUGGGUAAUGUGAUAUGAAAAGCGAAUGCACCAUUUCUUGGUGAUGAUUCAGAGUGGGUACAGAGGAAAGGCC
rnacentral:lncRNA from 1 species